rnacentral:rRNA from 1 species
AUGGCUCAGGAUGAACGCUGGCGGCGUGCUUAACACAUGCAAGUUGCGCGGUGAUCUCAAGAAGUUUCGGACGGAAAGGGAGAGCAGCAGCGGACGGGUGAGUAAAGCACAAGGACUUGUCCCGAAGAGGGGGACAACUGUGGGAAACCACAGCUAAUACCCCAUAAGCCGAGAGGUGAAAGCAGUAAUGCGCUUUAGGAGAGACUUGUGUCCUAUCAGGUAGUUGGUGAGGUAACGGCUCACCAAGCCGAAGACGGGUAGCCGGACUGAGAGGUUGUACGGCCACAUUGGAACUGAGAGACGGUCCAGACUCCUACGGGAGGCAGCAGUGGGGAAUAUUGGGCAAUGGGGGGCCAACCCUGACCCAGCGACGCCGCGUGAGGGAAGACAGCCUUCGGGUUGUAAACCUCUGUUGCAGGGGAAGAAGAAAGUGACGGUACCCUGCGAGGAAGCUCCGGCAAACUACGUGCCAGCCGCCGC